rnacentral:lncRNA from 1 species
GUUUUGUUAUUUCUUUGGUUUUUUUUUUUGCUUUUUUCUUUUUCUUAUUCUUUUUUCAAGUAUUAUUUUGUUAUAUACUUUUUUUCUUCAAUUUUUGAUAGCAUCUGUUGCCGUAUACACACAAAUACAUCAAUAUAUGGUAUAUGUAUAUAUAUUUUGUUGGCACACGACACAUCGUGCAUUCUCCAUUUCAUAUAUAGACAUUGAUUUGUAAUUGUUUUUAAUUUGUUGCAUUUGCAUUUGCUGUUUGUUUGCUGUUGCUGGUUGCUGGUUGCACGUUGCUGCUGUAGAUUACUACACGUUGUUUAUCCUUUUAGGCAUAUGUACGAGAGUAUGUUACGUUAGUUAUCAUAAUCAUAAUUUGUUGUACGGCGCUGACUAUGCAACCGUAACUAUGUUUUGCUUGUCGGCGUGUAUAUGAGUAUAAGUGUAUCUGUGUCUCCCGCUAGUGUAACUAUAUCUGUGUAUGGGUGUGUGUGUGUGUGUGUUUUCUACAUUCACAAUUAAUCUUAAUUAAGUAAUCCAUUUUGCUGGUUGUAUAUAUUUUCUCUUUAAAGUGUAAAGACACUAAAUUUCACAAUGUUCGAUUUGUUUUUUUUUUCUUUCUCUAUUUCGCUACAAAGAGACAAGAGGCCCCCUCCCACAGAAAACCCCCCGUUUGUGUGUGUGUGUGUGUGUGUGUGUGUCUAAUUUUUGGGGAGGGGAGGAGGGAUAUUUCCAAGCCCAGAACUAGCCGAAAAUCAUUUGGAGGGGGACAUUCAAAGUCCACCCAUUCCCCCAUGGGGAGCAAAAGUUUUUGGUUAGUUUUUGUAUCUUGUAUUUUCUAUGUGUUUGUGUUUUGUGUCUAUGAGUAUGUAAAUAAUUUACGAAAAUGUCUGGUUUAUACUAUAUAUAUAUCGUAUGUAUACAUAUAGAAUAUCUAUAUAGAUAUAGACGUAUUAUAAAAUCUCUAAACAGCCAUAAAAGUCAAAAGUUCUUAUCAUAGUUAUCUAUUAUCAAUUAUCUAGACUCGUCAUUACACACACUUUCACUUCCACCAAGUUCUGUUUAACUCGAGGAUCCUUAAAUCUGAAUUGGGAGUUUAUUAUCUCUAUGUUUGAAAUCGGAACUCGAUUGUUAUAAGUUUUAGCCGUUGGUUAGGGAGGGAGUAGGGAACUAUACAUAAAUACAAAUUGCUGUGUCCUGCGAUUUUUGGUUUUUCUUUGGUCUCGAUACAAUAUUCAUUCCCCCACGGUUACUUCUUUGUAUUCGAUCAAUUAGCAGGCGGCCUUCUCUGCUCCAAAGGUACGCAUAUCUGAUUACGAUACAGACACAUAUACACAUUUAUAUAUAUUCGUGUUUGUGUAUAUACUUUUUGAUUGCAUAAAACUAAACGCUAAUAUCGAUAUCCUUAUCAAUUACAAUGCUAAAUGUAUCGGUGUGCUUGGUUUUUGAUAUAAGUUUUUGAAUUUCAUGUUCAUUUCCGUUUUCGUUUCCAUUUCCCUUAUGCCUAAAAACGAAAUGGACACCAAGUAAAAAACAUUCAGUACAUAUUCAUAGAGAUACGAUUAGAAUACGAGAACCGUCGAUUAAAAUACGAUUAGAGUUGUGAAUCGAGUUGUGUUGUGGAUUGUGGCUGAAUAUUUGCUGAGUAGUUGGUGAUUUCUGGUUGGUGUAUCGUUGAUAAGGUGUUGGUGAACAUAUUUUGAAUGGAUUUUCCAAUUUAUUUGGAUGAAUAUGACUUGGUGCCCAUGAAAAAAGGAAAUUCUAUCUACUAUUCAUACUAUCCAUGAAUGAGUGAGUGUUCUUUGUGUGUGCGAUCUUUGAUUACCGGUCUUUGGUUUACUUUCAAAUGCAAAUCCAUUGCCGCUGCCUGCCCCUCUACUCGCUCUAUGUUGUGGUAUGCUAGGACAUAUCCCAUUUAUGAGUAGAGAUUUACUACCUCUAAUCGAUUUCGUAUAUAAAAAUAAUUAAAUUCUUUAAUCUGAAACUGCGCAAACGCAACAUCUACACUAUGUAUCGGUUGUGUUGUAGCAAAUCCCAUAAAAGUGCUCCCAUUCUGCUUCACAUUCUCUGAUCAAUCUAUUAAAACAUACAUUCAUAUAUUGUAUCGAUUUCGUUUACGUUUUGCAUCACCUACAAUGAAAUAUAUCCAAUACAUGUUUUUGCAUUCGCUAUAUCUUUUCUAGAUUUCUGCCAUUUUCUGUUUGGUUUCGAAAUCAGCAAAAGGUACAAACAUCAUUUUAAAUUCAAUAUCUUUACCAUUUAGCCAUAGUACUCGUAUGUAUUUAUGUAUGUAAAUGUGUGUAUAUAUGCUUGUUGUAUAUGUCCAUCUAUGAGUAUGAUCUCAGCUCUAGCUGCUAGUUAUCAUAUAUCCGUGUAUACAUGUAUAUAUAACGUAUGUAUGUAUAUUGUUUGUUUUUCUUGUUUUUAGGUAGGAAAUAUGCUAGUCUUAUAAAUUUCACACAUCAACAUUUUUCGGUUAUCUUUCCUCCCUUUCGAUUUGUUAGGAAAUAAUUUUCGUAUUUAAUAAAAUAUAUAUAUUUAUUGUAUAUAUAUCCAUAGAUUUAUCCAUUUUGUAAUAUGUGUACGUGUGUAUUUUUUCGAGUGACUUUUGUUGUUGUUUAUUGAAAACAUCUAUUUAAUUUCAAUCCGAACCACAAAAAUUGUUAAGAGAGUUUUCUGGAGAAAGUUCUUCAAGUGAAGGAAACACGAAGAUUAUAUCAUAUCCAUCUAUAUAUGUUCGUUUUACUGGUAGAUUAAACCUAAUUACGAAGCUUACGUUAACUUUAAAGCAUUAUGCUAUGAGGAGAAGGGCUCCCCGCUAUUCGAUUCUGCUGCUGUCCAGUCCAGACUCAGCGCUUUAACGAAAUGAAAUCUAAUUAUGGACGGGUUAUUAUCAAUCUUGUUUGUCAAAAAACAUCGUCGUACUCCAGCUAUUCGUAGAUAUCUGAUAAUCUAUCUGCUCUUUGAUUUCCAGUUCGGGUGCUUUGUUUGGCUAACUUUAAGUUUACUUUUUACUGAUUCCAUUUGGUUGUGUGUUUUGGUAAAUGCAAAAGAACCAAAAAUACGAUUAUUUAUACUUUCCAAUAAAAGCUCAUCAAUUGUUGGUCAAUCAAGCAACAUCGUGGGGCCUUUUUGGGGUUGUCGUUCUUCGGGGGGAGGUGUUCUGUUUGUGGGCGAAAUCAAUCUAUCAAAUCUGCAGAAACCUGGUUGGUCUUUCAACUAAAUCCUAAAUCAGCUGAAGCUUUUACACUAAAACUAAACCUAAACCUAAAUUGUUUGCACAAUUGCUUUGUUUUUGUUGUUUGAAGCUUUUCUGCUAUCGAUAGUAUUGCACAAUAUUAU